rnacentral:tRNA from 1 species
GCCGGAGUGGCGGAACUGGCAGACGCGCAUGGUUCAGGUCCAUGUGGGCGCAAGCCCGUGGGGGUUCGAGUCCCUUCUCCGGCACCA